rnacentral:rRNA from 1 species
UACGUAGGUGGCAAGCGUUGUCCGGAUUUACCGGGUGUAAAGGGCGUGUAGGCGGAGCUGCAAGUCAGAUGUGAAAUCCCGGGGCUCAACCCCGGAACUGCAUUUGAAACUGUAGCCCUUGAGUAUCGGAGAGGCAGGCGGAAUUCCUAGUGUAGCGGUGAAAUGCGUAGAUAUUAGGAGGAACACCAGUGGCGAAGGCGGCCUGCUGGACGACAACUGACGCUGAGGCGCGAAAGCGUGGGGAGCAAACAGG